UACGUAGGGUGCAAGCGUUAAUCGGAAUUACUGGGCGUAAAGCGUGCGCAGGCGGUUUUGUAAGUCUGUCGUGAAAUCCCCGGGCUCAACCUGGGAAUUGCGAUGGAGACUGCAAGGCUAGAAUCUGGCAGAGGGGGGUAGAAUUCCACGUGUAGCAGUGAAAUGCGUAGAGAUGUGGAGGAACACCGAUGGCGAAGGCAGCCCCCUGGGUCAAGAUUGACGCUCAUGCACGAAAACGUGGGGAGCAAACAGG
rnacentral:rRNA from 1 species